UUGAUUUCUACUCAGCCUUGAUUAUUACAACAGCCAUAAGGAUAGCACAAGAAACAGAGAACAGAUCAAAGAGAACAUAAAUUUGCAGUUAGAACAGUAAAUUAGAAACUAAAAUUAUAAAGAAAAUUCAUCAGCAUCAUAACAAUACGAGUAUGCCAAGAGAGUAGGAAUCCAUUGUUCCUCUAAUUGCCUCCAAGCAUGUGUUUUUACUUUUGAAAUCAAAUCCAAAUCGACCGUCCCUUCCCCUCCCACCAUUUUGCAGUAGUAAUCAAGGUGGUUAAUGGAUCUUAUGUUGCCGUAAUUGGAUUAACAUAAGCUCAGCACAUACAUGAAACUUAAUUAAAUGUUAAAGCCAUAUAAUUUACUUGGAAACAAAAGUUUCUACCAUGUAAAGGCUGGUAACACGAAUGAUGGAUAUGCAUCAUAUUUGGAUGCAAGAGCCUGUACAGAAGAUAAAUCUGCUACUUCUCCAAAACUGCUGACUCCAAGUUCAGUAGCAUGAAUCCCUCCAGUUAUAAAUGCUGAAUGAAUUCCAGCUUCAUUUGCACCUUUAAUGUCAUGGUGAAGCGAGUCCCCCACAGCAAUAGAAUCCAAAGCAUCCGCACCAGCCAUGGCCAUGGCCGAUUUGUAAAUAAUCUUAUCUGGCUUGCCCAUCCAUUUAACUUCACCCCCAAGCUUCUCAUAUUUUGCAGCUAAUGUACCAGGCAUAACUCGCAAGGCUCUAGCUUCAACAGUCACAAAGUCUGGAUUGGCUACUACCAUAGGAAUUCUUUUAGCAGCACAACGCUCCAAUAUUUUCUCAAGCUCUUCAAGAGUCAUAGGACAAACAGCACCAGAAGGGUGCCCCAAGGCUUCAGUACCAUGGGCCAAAACAAACUCAGCUUCUUCAACAUUUUCCACAAUUUGUAAAUCAAGGCCCUUAAGUGAUAUAGCACCCCGGUCACUCCAGGUCAUGUGAAUGCAAGAUUUUCCUAAUGCUGCAAACCAGUCAUCAUCUCUCCUAUUUAUAAUAAAAUCCAGAAAACAAAUUUGAGAGAUAAAUUAUAACUAUGGAAGUACAUAAAUAAUUUAAGAAAAGGAAUAAGAAACAUUGUGAAUUCCAACAAAAUAAAGUCAAAGGAAGAAGAAAAUGUUCUUGUAAUGAAUGACUGCUACUUCUAUUAAUGGCACGAAAAAACACAGCCUUUUAUAUCUACCCUAGUGGCAGGACCCACGCAAUUAGUAAUGGAAAAAUGCUGCAAUAACUUGAAAAUGUUUUUAUUGCACUACGUGAGUACAAUCAAAAGAAAAAUUAAACAAAUUCGGUCACGAGAAGCAAGCCAUGGCUUCAAAUAAAUUGCAAGUGGGAUGACUAAAAUUCCAAAUGACAUUCUGCUAUCCACAAAUAAGAAAAAGACAAACACUUGGUGGAGAAAAUGGGAAAAGGCAAGUUAUUGCAGAAGUUUAUGAAAAGCACAGUCCAUAACAGAGCUGAAUGCAAGAAAAUUGGACAAACCAAUCCCAACCACUUUUUUCAGGUUGGAUUUGGCUUCAAUUAUGUCAAAGCAAUCAAAACACUGCAUCCACAUUAAGGACAAAGAAUCACAAAAUAGAAAUUUAAACACUCAAACCUAACAAUUAGUGCGGUCAUGAAGCAUAAUAAUAAUAAUAAUAACAAAUAAAUAAAAUUACUGCAGAAUCAGUUCUCGAGGUAGUAAGGGUAUUAUGUAAGCUAAAGGAUAAGAAUAGAAAUCAUACGAUAAAGGUAUGACUGCAAUUUCCUGAGUUCCUUUCUAACUUCAUAUUGUUCAAAACAAUAGUAUAAUCUAAUUAUAAUAGUGUUAAGAGAAAUAAAUUAGCAAAGAUAAAUUAUAGAAGGCCAAUGGAUAGAGAAAGUGCAGAAUGAAAGUUUGGACAAUUGAUUGCAGAUGCAAUAUAAUCUAAAUGCCAGUGGAAGUACUAGCUAGAGUGGUCAAAGGACCAAAUCUGAGUAGCACAGAUAUGUGAUAACGCGGUAGAGACUCUGAAAGAUAUAGUUAGCAAGUACAGCUGUCAUGUUAGGAAGAAGAAUGGAACCAGGGAUAGAAUAGUCAAGUUCUAUUUUGGGUAAGACAAAGGAAAUAAAUGAAAGGACAAUUCGAAGGGCGCAUAAUAAAAGGAACAAAGUUAAGAUAUAGGGUAGGCUAAGUGUUAUUUUUGGCAAGGUGAAUGACAAGGAUGGAGAACCCAAAAUGGGACCAUAUUAGCAAGAAUAGUGAUGGAGGUAUGGAAUACAAUAAUAAUGAGUAAAUGCUAGAAGGUGUGCGAUGGUAUUGCGGACUACCUAAUUAGGUAGAGAAAAAGAAGUUAGUAAAUAGUAAGUUGAAUAAAAGUCAGUCUAAGGGAUCAAAUAGGUAUGAUGAGAGGAAAAGAAUGAUAGAUAAUGACACAUAGGUUUUAGGUUAGACUUUUGAGAUAGUGAGAAGGUAGUUAGAGGUUCGUUAUGAAUGUCAGGCAAACAUUUUUAGUGUGAUCAACAGAAUCACUUUGUAGUGAAGCAAUAACGACAGGACAAUAGUAGGGGUAGAACGAAAAGUGACAAGUCUGGGUGGUUAUAAAUCACUAGAAAGUUCAAGGAUCAAAUUAAUGACCAUAGAUAAGGGUGGAAUUAGUGUUGGAAGAAUCUAUUAGUAAGAGAAAUCUUUCAGGAAUCAACAAAAGUUAAGGGCACAAUAUAAACGAUGAUAGAUAUGAAUCAUAGGUCGAGUAUAAGUAAAGUUAAUAAAUUAUAAAAUAUUAUGUCAGGAAGGACAAUGGUACGGUAAAGGGUUCAUGCAGAUGAUACCUUAUAGGUAGAGCACAAUUGUGCUAGGAGAUGAUGAAAUUUGAAGAGAAAGACCAAGAAACAUAGAUUAAACGUUAUUAUAUGGACAAUCGGGCGUAGUUGAAUAUAAGAGGAUAUUUUUCUUUCUUUUCAAGUUUAGCUUGUGCUUUUGGUUCUAGAAGGUUAUAUAAGGAACAGAGACUGAGUCAAGGAGACCUAGUUAUUUGAGAGUUUGGUAGGCACCAAUUCAUACACAAUUUCCAGAUAUGAGAAUGACAGUAAGUGCAUACCUAGUGUUAAGUAUGAAAGGACGAUCAGAGUAAUGACAGGAGUUAAAUUGAGUUAGCUACUAAGGCUUGCAACUGUUUUAAACUAUGAGCUGGAGGAAAUACUAAUUGUGGAUGAGUUUCAAUAGAUGAAAUUGUUGCUGAUGGGUAAUUUGAGGUUGAAGUUUAGAAAGCUAUAGGCAGUAUAUGUGAUUAUAUUAAGGAGAAUGAACACAUGAAGUAUUUUGUUUAGAAUUAAGGCAUGGCACACAUUUCCCACAGCCGUGUUAGUUCAGAUGGAACUUAUAGUUUCAAGGGCUCCUAUCCAUCCAGGAUGAGCAAUUUCCUACUGAGGCUGGUAGAGAAUGAUAAUGUUCUGAUAGUUAAGUUGGAAAAAGGGGAUACAAAAAGAAUUUUCUAUGGUUAAUUAUAAGUGUUACAAAAGGUGAAGAAUGUGCUGGUAGGAGUAAAUCGUAAGGUUAGAAUUCCCGGAGUAAUAGAACUAGUAAUCAAGAUAAGACUAAGAAAUAAAAUGAAAGUUAAAGUUGAUGAUGGGAUGGACAUCCUUGAAGGAAAAAGGUGUAAGGGUGAAAUAGGACUAAGAUUAAUGAAUAAGUACAGCAGGUUGAAAAGAUAUCAACAAUACCAAAAAAA
rnacentral:misc_RNA from 1 species